CAAUAGCGUAUAUUAAAGUUGUUGCGGUAAAAAAGCUCGUAGUUGGAUUUCUGUUGAGAGCGACCGGUCCAUACCAUGUAUGCGUAUCUGGCUUGCUCUCGGCAUCCUCUCGAUAGACGUUACUGCGCUUGAUUGCGUGGUGCGGAUCUCGGGACUUUUACUUUGAGGAAAUUAGAGUGUUCACGGCAGGCUUUCGCCAGAAUACAUUAGCAUGGAAUAAUACUAUAGGAUCUUGGUUCUAUUUUGUUGGUUUCUAGAAUUGAGAUAAUGAUUAAUAGGGACAAUUGGGGGCAUUCGUAUCAACACGUCAGAGGUGGAAUUCUUGGAUUGUGUCGCGACGAACUACUGCGAAAGCAUUUGCCAAGGAUGUUUUCAUUGA
rnacentral:rRNA from 1 species